CGGGUGAGUAAUGCGUAGGAACGUACCGACAAGUGGGGGAUACCCAGCCGAAAGGUUGGCUAAUACCGCAUGUGACCUCCGGGUCAAAGCUUCGGCGCUUAUCGAUCGGCCUACGUCCCAUCAGGUAGUUGGUAGGGUAAUGGCCUACCAAGCCAACGACGGGUAGCUGGUCUGAGAGGAUGGUCAGCCACAAGGGAACUGAGAUACGGUCCCUACUCCUACGGGAGGCAGCAAUCGGGAAUCUUGCGCAAUGGGCGAAAGCCUGACGCAGCGACGCCGCGUGGAGGAUGAAGGCCUUCGGGUUGUAAACUCCUUUUAUUGCCGAAUACUUAGAAGGUAGGCAUUGAAUAAGCCACUGCUAACUACGUGCCAGCAGCCGCGGUGAUACGUAGGUGGCGAGCGUUAUCCGGAAUUACUGGGUGUAAAGGGUCGCGCAGGUGGAAAGCCGCGUCAGACUUCAAAUCUUGAGGCUCAACCUUAAAAUGUGGUCUGAUACGGGUUUUCUAGAGAGUGGUAGGGGCAAGCGGAACUUUCGGUGGAGCAGUGAAAUGCGUUGAUAUCGAAAGGAAC
rnacentral:rRNA from 1 species